rnacentral:rRNA from 3 species
GUGAAUCAUCGAAUCUUUGAACGCACAUUGCGCCCCCUGGUAUUCCGGGG